GUGGAGUUGAAGAUUUACAGUUUCACCUUGGGCUGAGAUGGGUACAUCAUUCACAAGGAAUAUAUUUCAAAAAUGAGGAGAACAUAAGAUACCAAGUUACUAGAUGUAAGCAAUGAAAGAUUGUGUGAGUGGGCUACUUUUAUCAUGGGAAGAUUAAUCUCAUUACAGAUACCAGCUAGGUGCUGAAAUACUUUUAUUUGUUUGAUUAAAAAUUGUGUGCACACUUCAGGAAAAGAAAAACUUGUAUAACUAUUUAAAUACUAAAUUUAUUGAGACAUCAUGAGAUUAACACAAGUUUCCUUUGGUCUCUAUAAUUACAAGGG
rnacentral:lncRNA from 1 species